rnacentral:rRNA from 1 species
UACGGGGGGGGCAAGCGUUGUUCGGAAUUACUGGGCGUAAAGGGCUCGUAGGCGGCCAACUAAGUCGGAUGUGAAAUCCCCAGGCUUAACCUGGGAACUGCAUCCGAUACUGGAUGGCUUGAAUCCGGGAGAGGGAUGCAGAAUUCCAGGUGUAGCGGUGAAAUGCGUAGAUAUCUGGAGGAAUACCGGUGGCGAAGGCGGCAUCCUGGACCGGCAUUGACGCUGAGGAGCGAAAGCCAGGGGAGCAAACAGG